AUUGAACGCUGGCGGCAGGCUUAACACAUGCAAGUCGAGCGGUAGCACAGGGGAUCUUGCUCCCUGGGUGACGAGCGGCGGACGGGUGAGUAAUGUCUGGGAAACUGCCUGAUGGAGGGGGAUAACUACUGGAAACGGUAGCUAAUACCGCAUAACGUCGCAAGACCAAAGAGGGGGACCUUCGGGCCUCUUGCCAUCAGAUGUGCCCAGAUGGGAUUAGCUAGUAGGUGGGGUAACGGCUCACCUAGGCGACGAUCCCUAGCUGGUCUGAGAGGAUGGCCAGCCACACUGGAACUGAGACACGGUCCAGACUCCUACGGGAGGCAGCAGUGGGGAAUAUUGCACAAUGGGCGCAAGCCUGAUGCAGCCAUGCCGCGUGUGUGAAGAAGGCCUUCGGGUUGUAAAGCACUUUCAGCGAGGAGGAAGGUGGUGAGCUUAAUACGUUCAUCAAUUGACGGUACUCGCAGAAGAAGCACCGGCUAACUCCGUG
rnacentral:rRNA from 1 species